rnacentral:rRNA from 1 species
GAUGAACGCUGGCGGCGUGCCUAAUACAUGCAAGUCGAGCGAACGGACGAGAAGCUUGCUUCACUGAUGUUAGCGGCGGACGGGCGAGUAACACGUGGAUAACCUACCUAUAAGACUGGGAUAACUUCGGGAAACCGUAGCUAAUACCGGAUAAUAUUUUGAACCGCAUGGUUCAAAAGUGAAAGACGGUCUUGCUGUCACUUAUAGAUGGAUCCGCGCUGCAUUAGCUAGUUGGUAAGGUAACGGCUUACCAAGGCAACGAUGCAUAGCCGACCUGAGAGGGGGAUCGGCCACACUGGAACGGAGACGCGGUCCAGACUCCUACGGGAGGCAGCAGUAGGGAAACUUCCGCAAGGGGCGGAAGCCUGACGGAGCAACGCCGCGUGAGGGAUGAAGGUCUUCGGAUCGUAGAACUCUGUUAUUAGGGAAGAACAUAUGUGUAAGUAACUGUGCACAUCUUGACGGUACCGAAUCAGAAAGCCACGGCUAACUACGUG